GAUGAAGAACGCAGCGAAAUGCGAUAAGUAGUGUGAAUUGCAGAAUUCAGUGAAUCAUCGAAUCUUUGAACGCACAUUGCGCCCCUUGGUAUUCCAUGGGGCAUGCCUGUUCGAGCGUCAUUUGUACCUUCAAGCUCUGCUUGGUGUUGGGUGUUUGUCUCGCCUCCGCGUGUAGACUCGCCUCAAAACGAUUGGCAGCCGGCGUAUUGAUUUCGGAGCGCGGUACAUCUCGCGCUUUGCACUCACAACGACGGCGUCCAGAAGUACAUUUUUACACUCUUGACCUCGGAUCAGGUAGGGAUACCCGCUGAACUUAAGCAUAUCAAUAAGCGGAGGA
rnacentral:misc_RNA from 1 species